AUUUAAGUAUUAAAAACAUUGACUUUUUAAAAUGAGCAUGCUAUACUAUUUAGGCACUCAAAAAUAGGAUAUCGCGGGAUGGAGCAGUCUGG
rnacentral:ncRNA from 1 species